CCUACGGGGGGCUGCAGUAGGGAAUAUUGCGCAAUGGGGGAAACCCUGACGCAGCGACGCCGCGUGAGUGAUGAAGGCCUUUCUGGUUGUAAAGCUCUGUAAGGAGGGAAGAAUGUCAGGCAGUAAUGUGUCUGAGUGACGGUACCUCCGGAGUAAGGACCGGCUAAAUACGUGCCAGCAGCCGCGGUAAUACGUAUGGUCCUAGCGUUGUCCGGAAUAACUGGGCGUAAAGGGUGUGUAGGCGGAUAUCCGUGUCAGGUGUGAAAUCCCCCGGCUUAACUGGGGCAUUGCGCUUGAAACUGGAUAUCUGGAGCGUGUCAGGGGUAAGCGGAAUUCCCGGAGUAGCGGUGAAAUGCGUAGAUAUCGGGAAGAACACCGGUGGCGAAGGCGGCUUACUGGGACAUGGCUGACGCUGAGGCACGAAAGCGUGGGGAGCGAACGGGAUUAGAUACCCCAGUAGUC
rnacentral:rRNA from 1 species